rnacentral:rRNA from 1 species
UACGGGGGGAGCAAGCGUUGUUCGGAUUUACUGGGCGUAAAGGGCGCGUAGGCGGUCGUGACAAGUCACUUGUGAAAUCUCCGGGCUUAACUCGGAACGGCCAAGUGAUACUGCUGUGCUAGAGUGCAGAAGGGGCAAUCGGAAUUCUUGGUGUAGCGGUGAAAUGCGUAGAUAUCAAGAGGAACACCUGAGGUGAAGACGGGUUGCUGGGCUGACACUGACGCUGAGGCGCGAAAGCCAGGGGAGCAAACGGG